rnacentral:rRNA from 1 species
AGGUAGGGGUCCUGAGAGGGAGAUCCCCCACACUGGUACUGAGACACGGACCAGACUCCUACGGGAGGCAGCAGUGAGGAAUAUUGGACAAUGGACGAAAGUCUGAUCCAGCUAUGCCGCGUGCAGGAUGACGGCCCUAUGGGUUGUAAACUGCUUUUAUACAGGAAGAAAAACUCCGACGUGUCGGAGCUUGACGGUACUGUAAGAAUAAGGAUCGGCUAACUCCGUGCCAGCAGCCGCGGUAAUACGGAGGAUCCAAGCGUUAUCCGGAAUCAUUGGGUUUAAAGGGUCCGCAGGCGGUUUUUUAAGUCAGAGGUGAAAUCCUGCAGCUCAACUGUAGAAUUGCCUUUGAUACUGAAAGACUUGAGUUAUUGUGAAGUGGUUAGAAUGUGUGGUGUAGCGGUGAAAUGCAUAGAUAUCACACAGAAUACCAAUUGCGAAGGCAGAUCACUAACAAUAUACUGACGCUCAGGGACGAAAGCGUGGGUAGCGAACAGGAUUAGAUACCCUGGUAGUCCACGCCGUAAACGAUGGAUACUAGCUGUAUGUCUACUUCAGGUAGAUGUGUGGCCAAGCGAAAGUGAUAAGUAUCCCACCUGGGGAGUACGAUCGCAAGAUUGAAACUCAAAGGAAUUGACGGGGGCCCGCACAAGCGGUGGAGCAUGUGGUUUAAUUCGAUGAUACGCGAGGAACCUUACCAGGGCUUAAAUGUAACGGGACAGAUCUAGAGAUAGAUCCUUCUUCGGACUCAUUACAAGGUGCUGCAUGGUUGUCGUCAGCUCGUGCCGUGAGGUGUCAGGUUAAGUCCUAUAACGAGCGCAACCCCCAUCGUUAGUUGCCAACGAGUAAUGUCGGGAACUCUAACGAAACUGCCGGUGUAAACCGUGAG